UUGGUAAUGAGUCUUGGAGUGGAGUGACCAAGCCCCGAGCUCCUGCGGCGGCGCAGCAGCCCGGAGCUAGGACCCUUGAUCGGGCCCGCCCCGCUUGGCCGGCUCCAGCCGGCUCCGGCGGGGUGUCCAGCGGGGCCCUGCCCCAGCAGCCUGGCUUACAUCGAAAUCUAGCCCGUAAGUUUUGGUCUUGAGACUUUGCUCCCCGGCUUCUUGGAAGGGAGCCCACCUCUGACUGGGACGUUUAAGGACUCCUUAGGUUUGUACUUUAAGUGAGUUUUGCAGUGCUUCGCUUGAAAUUACGUGAUUUCGAAGGCUCCCAGAAGCUCAAGACGUAAGUUCCUGACAAAAGACCCGCUUGCCCAUAAGGCGUUCUUGCUGGGAAACUGUGGUGAUCGGAAAACUGCUGUCCAUUCAGAGCCUUCAGCUCGGAAAUGACUAGCUGAUGCGUGGUUUGGAUGAGUGGGUCUUAACCAACGCCACUCCUCCAUGAAAGGUUCAGAGUUCAGGUCGCAACGUUAUACCUACUCAUUCUUUGGUGGGAUAUCAACCCCUGAAAGGUCUCUGAAGUCACAUACCCAGAAUCCUGCCUGUUGCCUUUUCAGAGUUUGUCCCCCAAGCCCUAAUCUUUCUGCUUCUCCUGACCUGUGAAGAACUCACCCACAUUUAUAAAGUCAAGCCAUCUUCCUGUUCUGCAUGCCUACCUU
rnacentral:lncRNA from 1 species